GACGAACGCUGGCGGCGUGCUUAACACAUGCAAGUCGAGCGGAGCGGCGAACGGGUGAGUAACGCGUGAGUAACUUCCCCCCUCUCUGGGAUUACAGUUGGAAACGGCUGCCAAUACCGGAUAGUGGGGGAUGACUCGCGUCCAAUGAGCUUGUUGGUGGAGUAGUGGCCUACCAAGGCGCUGACGGGUAGCCGGCCUGAGAGGGGGCCCGGCCACAUUGGGCUGAGAUACGGGCCAAAGUCCUACGGGAGGCAGCAGUGGAGAAUAUUGCACAAUGGGGGAAACCCUGAUGCAGCAACGCCGCGUGCGGGAUGACGGCCUUCGGGUUGUAAACCGCUUUCAGCCAUGACGCGGUAGUGGCAGAAGAAGCACCGGCUAACUACGUGCCAGCAGCCGCGGUAAUUC
rnacentral:rRNA from 1 species